ACCUUUUCACAGUGGCAUGGUUGUGACCAGUGAGGUAUGACUGAGGUGUGGUUAUUGCUCGUUGAGGGCUUUUACCAAUAAUCCACAAAAGAGAAAUGAAAUACUGUCUCUUUGGCAAUUUUUGGCAGUUCCUACGUGGG